GUAACGCGUGAGGAACCUGCCUCAAAGAGGGGGACAACAGUUGGAAACGACUGCUAAUACCGCAUAAGCCCACCGCUCGGCAUCGAGCAGAGGGAAAAGGAGUGAUCCGCUUUGAGAUGGCCUCGCGUCCGAUUAGCUAGUUGGUGAGGUAAUGGCCCACCAAGGCGACGAUCGGUAGCCGGACUGAGAGGUUGAACGGCCACAUUGGGACUGAGACACGGCCCAGACUCCUACGGAAGGCAGCAGUGGGGAAUAUUGCACAAUGGGGGAAACCCUGAUGCAGCGACGCCGCGUGGAGGAAGAAGGUCUUCGGAUUGUAAACUCCUGUUGUUGAGGAAGAUAAUGACGGUACUCAACAAGGAAGUGACGGCUAACUACGUGCCAGCAGCCGCGGUAAAACGUAGGUCACAAGCGUUGUCCGGAAUUACUGGGUGUAAAGGGAGCGCAGGCGGGAGAACAAGUUGGAAGUGAAAUCCAUGGGCUCAACCCAUGAACUGCUUUCAAAACUGUUUUUCUUGAGUAGUGCAGAGGUAGGCGGAAUUCCCGGUGUAGCGGUGGAAUGCGUAGAUAUCGGGAGGAACACCAGUGGCGAAGGCGGCCUACUGGGCACCAACUGACGCUGAGGCUCGAAAGUGUGGGUAGCAAACAGGAUUAGAUACCCUGGUAGUCCACACCGUAAACGAUGAUUACUAGGUGUUGGAGGAUUGACCCCUUCAGUGCCGCAGUUAACACAAUAAGUAAUCCACCUGGGGAGUA
rnacentral:rRNA from 1 species